UGCCGAGCAUCUCCUAUCCCUACUUCCUCGCGGUACUGGCCGAGGAACGAGCAAAUUUACGGAAGAUCAAGUAACCACGGUGGGAACUUUGGUUGUAUGCUGACAGAGAAGG
rnacentral:ribozyme from 1 species